rnacentral:pre_miRNA from 1 species
AAGGGUGGCUCAAAAUCAAUCAUGCAGAUGCAGAUUAUGAGAGCAGUGGAGGUUCCAGAUUGAAGAAACAUCAUUGAGUGCAGCGUUGAUGAAUUGAAAUUCUUUCGAAAUUUCAUCAGCGCUGCACCCAAUUAUGUUUCUAUCCAAUUUUGGCAAAGUACUGGCUGGCUUCUCUGGUCUUCUUCUUUCUUUUAGCCCUUUU